rnacentral:lncRNA from 1 species
CUGCACUCAACUGGCUCAGCAAAAAACAAAUUCACUCCAUGCCCAUGGUGGUAUUGAGUAACCCAGUGGAAGACACCAGAUCAGCCAUUUGCAUUACAUAUACAGCAACAUAGGCUAAUCCAUAAUUUAUAAUACGUCAGCCAGUAAGAUUAUGCAAAAUAGCACACAUAAUAAAAUAGCCCAUACUGUUCCACUCUCUGCCACUAACCAUUUGAGCCUGUGUUAGUACCAAAAGGCAUGGUCAGUCUUAAUAGGCUAUCUACAGAGAAAUUGUGAAAUGAGGUUUGAGGUUUGGAGAUGACUUAACCUUUUAAAUGUAGCAUCCCAUCUCUAACAGGAGGCAAAAAUCUUGUUUUGUUGGUACAUGGCUGUUUACUGUAAUGAUUGUUCUAACAUCUCCAUUGAGCGUACGUGAGUCAGUGUGUGUAUUGAAGUCAUAUUCCAGAUGAAUAUAAAAAUGUUUCUUAAAUGUCCAAUGAAGCUGAUUUUAUCUCGAUAUCAAAUUAUUUCUGGGUAACAAUUAAGUACCUUAAAUAGCACCUUUUGUUUGGUAUUUUAUUACGAUCCACAAGAGGUCGCUGUAAUUUUGGCCACAACAGUUCUGCAAACCCACCCCAUAGAUCCCCAUCUUGACACAGAACUCACCAAGCCACCAAUAGGAAGACAUACUGUGUCUUUCUUGCCUGUUUGCAGCCAUUGAAACAAAUUUCAAGUGAAAAACAAGUGAAAACACUUGUAAUUACUGAAUGGAAGGUAUUUGAAAUUACAACAAGAUCACAAAUAUGCACAGAGGUUCUAUACAUCAGGGGUGGAGCAUGGAAAUGAGCAAACAGAGAUUGAGAAUGAAAGCUUCUUUAAUCUGUCGGUUCUAUACAUCAGAGGUGGAGCAUGGAAAUGAGCAAGCAGAGAUUGCAAUGUAAAGCUUCUUUAAUCUGUCAGUAGCUAUGCGCACACUCAAUUCAAACGUGAUGCAUGUCACACAUAUUCCUAAGUAGAGAUAGUGACUGUAAGAUCAACGUCAGCUC